rnacentral:rRNA from 1 species
AAUGCAUGCAAGUCGAACGGGCGAAGGGGCUUCGGCCCCUAGCUAGUGGCAGACGGCUGAGUAACACGUAAACGACCUGCCCCGGAGAGGGGGACAAGCCGGAGAAAUCCGGUCUAAUACCCUGUACGCUCCCCGCGUCGGCGGCAGAGGAAAAGUUCUGGCGCUCUGGGAGGGGUUUGCGGCCUAUCAGGUAGUUGGCGGGGUAACGGCCCACCAAGCCGAAGACGGGUAACCGGUGUGAGAGCACGAUCGGUCAGAGGGAGACUGAGACACGGCCCCCACUCCUACGGGAGGCAGCAGCAGGGAAUCUUGCGCAAUGGGCGAAAGCUCGACGCAGCGACACCGCGUGGGGGAUGAAGGCUUUCGAGUUGUAAACCCCUUUUCCCGGGGAUGAGAAAGGACAGUACCCGGGGAAUAAGGUUCGGCUAACUACGUGCCAGCAGCCGCGGUAACACGUAGGAAACGAGCGUUGUCCGGAUUUACUGGGCGUAAAGUGCGCGUAGGCGGUUCGUUAAGUCUCAUGUGAAAUCUCCCGGCUCAACUGGGAGGGGUCAUGGGAAACUGGCGGACUUGAGUGCAGCAGA